CCUGCCGCGUGCAAUGAAGAAGGCCUUCGGGUUGUAAACCGCUUUUGUCAGGGAAGAAAUCUUCUGGGUUAAUACCUCGGGAGGAUGACGGUACCUGAAGAAUAAGCACCGGCUAACUACGUGCCAGCAGCCGCGGUAAUACGUAGGGUGCGAGCGUUAAUCGGAAUUACUGGGCGUAAAGCGUGCGCAGGCGGUCUUGCAAGACAGGUGUGAAAUCCCCGGGCUUAACCUGGGAACUGCACUUGUGACUGCAAGGCUGGAGUACGGCAGAGGGGGAUGGAAUUCCGCGUGUAGCAGUGAAAUGCGUAGAUAUGCGGAGGAACACCNAUGGCGAAGGCAAUCCCCUGGGCCUGUACUGACGCUCAUGCACGAAAGCGUGGGGAGCAAACAGGAUUAGAUACCCUGGUNGUCCACGCCCUAAACNANGUCAACUGGUUUGUUNGACGGCUUGCUNUUCAAAUAACNAAGCUAACGCNUGAAAUUUGACCCGCCUGNGGAAGUACCNNCCCGCNAANGGUUNUAACNUCNAAAUGAAUUUUUUCGG
rnacentral:rRNA from 1 species